UGGGAAUAUCUCGAGGAGGAAUGAAAUGCCACUAAAUAACAUUUUGGAAGUGGAGAUAUUCGAUAUUUGGAGAAUUGACUUCAUGGGACCUUUCUUCCCAUCGUUCUCAAAUCAGUACAUCUUGGUAGUAGUGGAUUAUGUAUCAAAUGGGUGGAAGCAGUUGCACUGCCAACAAAUGAUUCAAAGGCAGUAAUUGGGUUCUUGAAGAAAUAUAUUUUCACCUGAUAUGGUAUACCACGAGCUAUAAUUAGUGACGGGGACAAGCACUUCUGCAAUCGCCAGUUUGAGCAGCUGUUGAAUAAAUAUGGCUUUAAACACCAUGCUACUACCCCAUAUCAUCCAAAAACCGAUGGGCAAGUUGAAGUAUCUAAUCGACAACUAAAGAGAAUACUCGAGGUCACAGUAAACUCAUCUAGAAAGGACUGGUCUAAAAAGUUGGACGAUGCAUUGUGGGCUUACAGGACAGCAUUCAAGACACCGAUAGGCAUGUCUCCAUAUCGCCUAGUUUUUGAAAAAGCGUGCCAUCGGCCACUAGAAAUGGAGCACCGGGCAUAUUGGGCUUUGAAACAGUUGAAUAUGGACUUGAGUGCCGCCGGUGAAAAGCGUCUACUGCAACUCA
rnacentral:lncRNA from 1 species